rnacentral:rRNA from 1 species
AUUGAACGCUGGCGGCAGGCUUAACACAUGCAAGUCGAGCGGAGCGAGGGUGCUUGCACCUUAGCUUAGCGGCGGACGGGUGAGUAAUGCUUAGGAAUCUGCCUAUUAGUGGGGGACAACAUUCCGAAAGGAAUGCUAAUACCGCAUACGCCCUACGGGGGAAAGCGGGGGAUCUUCGGACCUUGCGCUAAUAGAUGAGCCUAAGUCGGAUUAGCUAGUUGGUGGGGUAAAGGCCUACCAAGGCGACGAUCUGUAGCGGGUCUGAGAGGAUGAUCCGCCACACUGGGACUGAGACACGGCCCAGACUCCUACGGGAGGCAGCAGUGGGGAAUAUUGGACAAUGGGGGGAACCCUGAUCCAGCCAUGCCGCGUGUGUGAAGAAGGCCUUAUGGUUGUAAAGCACUUUAAGCGAGGAGGAGGCUCUUUUGGUUAAUACCCAAGAUGAGUGGACGUUACUCGCAGAAUAAGCACCGGCUAACUCUGUGCCAGCAGCCGCAGUAAGAC